CUUCACCGACCCCAGCCACAACGGCCGGUCCUCCGGACGGUCCUGACCGUACGUCGCCAGCACCGCCUGCGCCUC
rfam:Streptomyces violaceusniger Tu 4113, complete genome.